UACGGGGGGGGCAAGCGUUGUUCGGAAUCACUGGGCAUAAAGCGCACGUAGGCGGUGACGUAAGUCGGGUGGGAAAUCCCUCGGCCUAACCGAGGAACUGCGCCCGAUACUGCGUUGCUUGAGGACCAGAGGGGUGCAUGGAAUUUCCGGUGGAGCGGUGAAAUGCGUUGAUAUCGGAAGGAACUCCGGCGGCGAAAGCGAUGCACUGGCUGGUUUCUGACGCUGAGGUGCGAAAGCCAGGGGAGCAAACGGG
rnacentral:rRNA from 1 species